GAUAACCUUUACUGCCACCUUUAAACUUGAGAACUUCCUUCAGACAUGGUAAGACCAUCUAACUAGGAACUUGCUUCAUAACAAAAACCUAAAAACCCUAGCUCAUUCGUUGCAACUGCCUGCACUUUUGUAGCACAAGUAGUUCUUUCGGCUAACUUUUGUGUCCAUUUCUGGUUUCAGAUGCAAUGGAGAGAAGCCUCGAGACGCCCUGAGUCCACAUCUCAUAUUCUCUCUUGUUCCUGCACUCAAACUCCACAACACCACGUAUCCUUGUCCUCAGCCCAAAGUAACGACGCUGCUCUCCCCCCUCAAACAAGUGCCUUCCUGGCCAUGCUGGUAUGUUCUUGCACACCUCCACCACCACAUCUGCCACUCACAAUUAUGGAAGAAAAUCAAUUCCAUAAUUUCAAUUAUUUUGGUCUCUAUUUCCAAGUUUAUGAAUGACCUUAAUAUGUUUUCCUAAAUUGAAAUUCACUAGCAUACAACUAUAACUUACUUUUCUUCUUUUUGGUUAUAGUCGAAGCUACAUGUUUACUCUUCAUCUUCAGCAUCACCUGGAAAUUGAACAUAAUAUGGGGAUAUUUUAACUUCCAAGAACAGGAUUCAAGAAGUGUUAU
rnacentral:lncRNA from 1 species